UGGGGUUGUGGCUCAGUGGUAGAGCACUCGCCUAGCAUGCAGGAGGUACUGGGUUUGAUCCUUAACACCCUAA
rnacentral:tRNA from 1 species